GAUAGGUCUGUGGCCGAUUAGGUUGUUGUUGAUGUAACGGAUCAACAAGCCUACGAUCGGUACGGGUUGUGAGAGCAAUAGCCCGGAGAUGGGUUCUGAGAGAAGAACCCAGGUCCUACGGGACGCAUCAGGCGCGAAAACUUUACAAUGUGCGAAAGCACGAUAAGGGAACUCUGAGUGCCUCCUAAGGAGGCUGUUCAGAUGUUUAAAAAGCAUCUGGAGGAAGGGCUGGGCAAGACCGGUGCCAGCCGCCGCGGUAACACCGGCAGCCCAAGUGGUGGUCACGCUUACUGGGUCUAAAGCGUCCGUAGCCGGCUAGGUAAGUUCCUUGGGAAAUUUGAUCGCUUAACGAUUAAGCUACCUGGGAAUACUAUCUGGCUUGGGACCGGGAGAGGUCAGAGGUACCUCAAGGGUAGGGGUGAAAUCCGUUAAUCCUUGGGGGACCACCGGUAGCGAAGGCGUCUGACCAGACCGGAUCCGACGGUGAGGGACGAAGGCUAGGG
rnacentral:rRNA from 1 species